GUGUCAGCAGCCGCGGUAAUACAGGGGGGGCAAGCGUUGUUCGGAAUUACUGGGCGUAAAGGGCCAGUAGGCGGCCAACUAAGUCACACGUGAAAUCCCCAGGCUUAACCUGGGAACUGCGUGUGAUACUGGAUGGCUUGAAUUCGGGAGAGGGAUGCAGAAUUCCAGGUGUAGCGGUGAAAUGCGUAGAUAUCUGGAGGAAUACCGGUGGCGAAGGCGGCAUCCUGGACCGACAUUGACGCUGAACGGCGAAAGCUAGGGGAGCAAACGGGAUUAGAUACCCCGGUAGUCC
rnacentral:rRNA from 1 species